UGACGGCCACGUGGACACUCUGGCUGAUGGAGAGCUGGGGCUGGAUGAGAACGCUGCACAGGUUGGAGAGCAGACUUUGGAGGCCCCUAGAACAGCAGGAGCCAUGGAGUUGAUAGAAACCUAGGGGCUCCUGGCGAUUCCAGAAGGCUGAAAGGAGGGAAGCUGCUCUCUGGAGGGUAGAGCCCCCUCUUUGCUCUCAGGGAGAUGUGAGGGCAAGUUUGGUGGGGAGAAGGUGUCUGGCAACAGGAGGGGAGCUGAGAGUUUGUGGGCAAGUGUGAAUUGGACAGACCCCACUCCAACUUUUAGGGCAAGGGAAUCAAGCAGGUCCAGCAGCUUCCCAAUGGCCUUCCAGCUUCAGCCCCUGCCCCUCCUCCAUCUGUUCCCAACAUGCAGCCAGAGCAAUGCCUUAAAACCCAAGUCGUAUUAUGCAGCUCUUUUGCUCAAAACCCUCCAGUGGUCUCCCACUUCGUUCAGUGUGAAAGCAGUGGCAGUCACAAAAUAAACUCUUCAUAAGUGUUUCCAGAAUGGAUGAAUGAAUGAAAUUUCCCAAAACUCCAAGGUAGCUUUAUUCCCAUUUCACUCAUGAGGAAAUAGCAACUCAGAAAAGUCUGAUCUCAGUGCUAAACUUACCUCCUUCAGGAAGCCUUCCCAGAUUAACCUACUCCCAUUUUUGAAUAUUUCUAAAUGCAGCUGGCAUAACUCUUACCACUACUUAUCACUGUUUCUACUAUAUCCAAUUAGGUCUUUAAAAAGUUAUUUUGAGCAUUCAAAGUCAAGAUUAAACUGUAUGGAGGUUUCUUGAAAAAUUAAAAAUGGAAUUACCAUAUGAUCCAGCAAUUCCUCUUCUGGGCACAUACUCAAAAAAAUUGAAAGCAGAGCCUUGAAAAAGGUAUUUCCUCACCCAUGUUCAUAGUAGCAUUAUUUACAAUAGACAAGAUAU